AAGUCGUAACAAGGUUUCCGUAGGUGAACCUGCGGAAGGAUCAUUACAACGUAUCCAACGUAAACAAACGCGAACUUCCCUUUGGGACGCGGGACCAAACGCAGGCAGCUGCUUUGGUUAUGAAGUUAGUUAGGCUGAACUGCUAACAGAGUGUUUCGUCGAUGGAGGCUUGCCUGGACAGUCCAGGCUUGCCUGAAACACCAGUUCUUGGCCCGGAUUAGUUCCUUGUGAACGUGUCCGAACUUCGCCUGCCCCAAAGUGUAUUUAACCAUCGGUCAUAUGUACCUUCAUUAACCCUUUAUAACUAAUUGAACUGAGCUUGUAAAGUCUGCGGUUGUCCUUGCUGGCUUCGGUCACGGGCAACUUAACGCAGCUCUUUACUAUUUACGAAAUAUAAGAACAACUCUUAACAACGGAUAUCUUGGUUCUC
rnacentral:misc_RNA from 1 species